rnacentral:rRNA from 2 species
UACAGAGGGUGCGAGCGUUAAUCGGAUUUACUGGGCGUAAAGCGUGUGUAGGUGGCUACCUAAGUCGAUUGUGAAAUCCCUGGGCUCAACCUGGGAAUUGCAGUCGAUACUGGGAAGCUCGAGUUCGGUAGAGGACGGCGGAAUUCCCGGUGUAGCGGUGAAAUGCGUAGAUAUCGGGAGGAACAUCGAUGGCGAAAGCAACCGUCUGGGCCUGAACUGACACUGAGACACGAAAGCGUGGGGAGCAAACAGG